AAAAAAAAAAAAAGUAAUGCCCGAUCUCAUCUGAACUCGGAAGUAAAGCAGGGUCAGGCCUGGUUAGUACUUGGAUGGGAGACCGCCUGGGAAUACCAGGUGCUGUAAGCU
rnacentral:rRNA from 1 species